rnacentral:rRNA from 1 species
UACGUAGGGACCGAGCGUUGUCCGGAAUCAUUGGGCGUAAAGAGCGUGUAGGCGGCCACUUAAGUCCUGCGUGAAAUCUUGCGGCUCAACCGCAAGCGGUCGUGGGAAACUGGGUGGCUAGAGUGCGGGAGAGGAGAGUGGAAUUCCUGGUGUAGCGGUGGAAUGCGCAGAUAUCAGGAAGAACACCCGUGGCGAAGGCGCUCUCUGGAACGCAACUGACGCUGAGACGCGAAAAGCGUGGGGAGCAAACAGG